AACGAACGCUGGCGGCAGGCCUAACACAUGCAAGUCGAGCGCGCCUUCGGGUGAGCGGCGGACGGGUUAGUAACGCGUGGGAACGUACCCUUCUCUACGGAAUAGCCUUUGGAAACGAAGAGUAAUACCGUAUACGCCCUUUGGGGGAAAGAUUUAUCGGAGAAGGAUCGGCCCGCGUUAGAUUAGGUAGUUGGUGGGGUAACGGCCUACCAAGCCUACGAUCUAUAGCUGGUUUUAGAGGAUGAUCAGCAACACUGGGACUGAGACACGGCCCAGACUCCUACGGGAGGCAGCAGUGGGGAAUCUUAGACAAUGGGGGCAACCCUGAUCUAGCCAUGCCGCGUGAGUGAUGAAGGCCUUAGGGUCGUAAAGCUCUUUCGCCUGUGAUGAUAAUGACAGUAGCAGGUAAAGAAACCCCGGCUAACUCCGUG
rnacentral:rRNA from 1 species